CAAGGUAAAUGGAUGAUCGCUCUGCAUUUGCGGGGAGGAAAGUCCGGACUUCUAUUUCGUUUUUACGAAAUAAAAAAAGGUAGUCGCUAACAACGACCUGAAGUAAUUCAAGGGAAAGUGCCACAGAGACAAUACUAGCUACGCAUUUUGCGUGGUGAAAGGUGAAAAGUUAUGCAGUGUUUAAGUUAUGUUUGGAUUUUUCAAAUGUAAUUUAAGCUAUGUGUAUUCUGCGUUGGUGACAACGAUAGAUGGUAAACCCUGCCUGAAGCAAGAGCAAACUAUCCCUUUUGGGAUAAUGAAAAGUGGCUCGCUUGACUCUGUAAGCAAUUACAGAGCUAGAUAGAUGAUUAUCGCUCGCAAGAGUACAGAAUCCGGCUUAUAGUUUGCCUUGAAAU
rnacentral:RNase_P_RNA from 1 species